GGUUCCAUAGUAUGGCAGUCAGCACAUCUGCUUCACACGCAGAAGGUCCUGGGUUCGCGCCCCAGUGGAGCCA
rfam:Pteropus alecto contig48099, whole genome shotgun sequence.